rnacentral:rRNA from 1 species
UGAGUACGAGAUGCUACGGCAUCGAAGCAGUCUAUGUCAUACUUCCAAGAAAAGCUUGCACUGUCAUAAACAAAGAAUGCCUGUACCAUAACCGACACAGGUGGGUAGGUAGAGUAUACUAAGGGGCGCGAGAUAACUCUCUCUAAGGAACUCGGCAAAAUGACUCCGUAACUUCGGGAGAAGGAGUGCCUUAUUUCUAAGGUUGCAAUAACAAGAUCCAAGCAACUGUUUACCAAAAACACAGGUCUCCGCUAAGUCGUAAGACGAUGUAUGGGGGCUGACGCCUGCCCAGUGCCAGAAGGUUAAAGAAGUUGGUUAGCAUUAGCGAAGCUGAUAACUGAAGCCCUGGUGAACGGCGGCCGUAACAAUAACGGUCCUAAGGUAGCGAAAUUCCUUGUCGGGUAAGUUCCGACCCGCACGAAAGGCGUAAUGAUUUGGAUACUGUCUCGGAGAGGGGCUCGGUGAAAUAGACUUGUCUGUGAAGAUGCGGACUACCUGCACCUGGACAGAAAGACCCUAUGAAGCUUUACUAUACCCUGAUAUUGGAUUUUGGUAUGAUAUGUGUAGGAUAGGUGGGAGGCUUUGAAGCUUGGACGCUAGUUCAGGUGGAGCCAUCGGUGAAAUACCACUCUUAUUAUAUUAGGAUUCUAACCUCAUGCCGUUAUCCGGCAGAGAGACAGUGUCAGGCGGGUAGUUUGACUGGGGCGGUUUCCUCCUAAAGAGUAACGGAGGAGUUCAAAGGCAUCCUCAGCACGGUCGGCAAUCGUGCGUUAGAGUGUAAAGGCAUAUGGAUGCUUAACUGUGAGACCUACAAGUCGAGCAGGUGUGAAAGCAGGACUUAGUGAUCCGGUGGUUUAAUGUGGAAUUGCCAUCGCUCAACGGAUAAAAGGUACUCCGGGGAUAACAGGCUUAUCGCGCCCAAGAGUUCAUAUCGACGGCGCGGUUUGGCACCUCGAUGUCGACUCAUCACAUCCUGGGGCUGGAGAAGGUCCCAAGGGUUCGGCUGUUCGCCGAUUAAAGUGGUACGCGAGUUGGGUUUAGAACGUCGUGAGACAGUUCGGUCCCUAUCUUCUGUGGGCGUAGGAUAUUUGAGGAGAUUCAUCCUUAGUACGAGGGGACCGGGAUGGACGUACCUCUGGUGUACCAGUUAUGUCGCCCGAUGUAUUGCUGGGUAGCUACGUACGGAAAGGAUAAGCGCUGAAGGCAUCUAAGCGCCAAGCCCCCUCCGAGAUAAGAUAUCCCUCAGCUUUAGCUGACUAAAGACCCCUUGUAGACUACGAGGUUGAUAGGUCGGCGGUGUAAGCACAGUAAUGUGUUUAGCUAACCGAUACUAAUAGGUCGUGAGGCUUGAUCC